GCACUGCUGAGGAGUCCUACAAUAGGACGAAAUAGCCAUUCAGUGC
rnacentral:hammerhead_ribozyme from 1 species